rnacentral:lncRNA from 10 species
CAGCACUUCUCUCUCACUGGAGAGAGAACUGUUCUCCUUUCUCUUUCUUCUGCCUAUUAAGCCUCUGCUCCUAAACUCCUCAUGUGUGUCUGUGUCCUAAAUUUUCCUGGCAUGGCAGGACAAACCCCGGGUAUUUACCACAGACAACAAAACCGCUUCACUAUGAUGUAUGCAUGCUGCAAAGGAAGGUUUACAAGAACUGGUCAGUAAAGCUGGUUUUUCAAUUGGUGCUGGAUGCCAAUCACGAUCUCCCAUGGCCUGUGGCUUGCAGUGCUC